rnacentral:rRNA from 1 species
CCUACGGGAGGCAGCAGUGGGGAAUAUUGCACAAUGAGGGAAACCCUGAUGCAGCGAUGCAGCGUGGAGGAAGAAGGUUUUCGGAUUGUAAACUCCUGUUAUCAGGGACGAUAAUUACGGUACGUGAAGAAAAAGCGCCGGCUAACUACGUGCCAGCAGCCGCGGUAAUACGUAGGGAGCGCGCGUUGUGCGGAAUUACUGGGUGGAAAGGGAGCGGAGGAGGGACGGCAAGUCAGAUGUGAACACUGAGGGCUCAACUUUCAGCCUGCAUUUGAAACUGCUGUUCUUGAGUGAAGUAGAGGUAAGCGGAAUUCCUAGUGUAGCGGUGAAAUGCGUAGAUAUUAGGAGGAACAUCGGUGGCGAAGGCGGCUUACUGGGCUUUUACUGACGCUGAGGCUCGAAAGCGUGGGGAGCAAACAGGAUUAGAUACCCUUGUAGUC